AACAGGAAACAGCUUGCUGUUUCGCUGACGAGUGGCGGACGGGUGAGUAAUGUCUGGGAAACUGCCUGAUGGAGGGGGAUAACUACUGGAAACGGUAGCUAAUACCGCAUAACGUCGCAAGACCAAAGAGGGGGACCUUCGGGCCUCUUGCCAUCGGAUGUGCCCAGAUGGGAUUAGCUAGUAGGUGGGGUAACGGCUCACCUAGGCGACGAUCCCUAGCUGGUCUGAGAGGAUGACCAGCCACACUGGAACUGAGACACGGUCCAGACUCCUACGGGAGGCAGCAGUGGGGAAUAUUGCACAAUGGGCGCAAGCCUGAUGCAGCCAUGCCGCGUGUAUGAAGAAGGCCUUCGGGUUGUAAAGUACUUUCAGCGGGGAGGAAGGGAGUAAAGUUAAUACCUUUGCUCAUUGACGUUACCCGCAGAAGAAGCACCGGCUAACUCCGUGCCAGCAGCCGCGGUAAUACGGAGGGUGCAAGCGUUAAUCGGAAUUACUGGGCGUAAAGCGCACGCAGGCGGUUUGUUAAGUCAGAUGUGAAAUCCCCGGGCUCAACCUGGGAACUGCAUCUGAUACUGGCAAGCUUGAGUCUCGUAGAGGGGGGUAGAAUUCCAGGUGUAGCGGUGAAAUGCGUAGAGAUCUGGAGGAAUACCGGUGGCGAAGGCGGCCACCUGGACGAAGACUGACGCUCAGGUGCGAAAGCGUGGGGAGCAAACAGGAUUA
rnacentral:rRNA from 1 species